GGACCGGUGGAGCAAGCUGGCAGCUCGCCGCCCUCUCAAGGCGGAGGUUACGGGUUCAAACCCCGUCCGGUCUA
rnacentral:tRNA from 1 species